GAGGGUAUAGCUCAGCGGUACAGUGCCUACUUAGCAUGCACUAGGUCCUGGGUUUGAUUCCCAGUACCUCCA
rnacentral:tRNA from 1 species